rnacentral:rRNA from 1 species
GUGGGGAAUAUUGGACAAUGGGCGAAAGCCUGAUCCAGCCAUGCCGCGUGUGUGAAGAAGGUCUUCGGAUUGUAAAGCACUUUAAGUUGGGAGGAAGGGCAGUAAGUUAAUACCUUGCUGUUUUGACGUUACCGACAGAAUAAGCACCGGCUAACUUCGUGCCAGCAGCCGCGGUAAUACGAAGGGUGCAAGCGUUAAUCGGAAUUACUGGGCGUAAAGCGCGCGUAGGUGGUUUUGUAAGUUGGAGGUGAAAUCCCCGGGCUCAACCUGGGAACUGGCUCCAAAACUGCAUGACUAGAGUACGGUAGAGGGUAGUGGAAUUUCCUGUGUAGCGGUGAAAUGCGUAGAUAUAGGAAGGAAAACCAGUGGCGAAGGCGACUACCUGGACUGAUACUGACACUGAGGUGCGAAAGCGUGGGGAGCAAACAGGAUUAGAAACCCUAGUAGUCC